AGAUAUGUAGUUAAUGUAGGUAAUUAAUUAAUAAUACUAAUUUAUAAUACUAUUAAAAUUUUAAUUGAUUGAGAUAUGUAGUUAAUGUAGGUAAUUAAUUAAUAAUACUAAUUUAUAAUACUAUUAAAAUUUUAAUUGAUUGAGAUAUGUAGUUAAUGUAGGUAAUUAAUUAAUUGUGUUUGUAGCUUUAUUUUUUGUUGUUCGUUUUAUUAUUACAACGGUAAGCAUGAUUGGUGCCUUAAUAUAGUCAUGAUCAUCGGAUCUAACGGUAAUAAUGGCUUGCUUGGAUCAAAUCAAUUGUUUUUCAC
rnacentral:lncRNA from 1 species